GUUUUAAUAGUUUAAUAAAAACAUUGGUCUUGUAAACCAAAAAUAAGAUUAAGUCUUUUAAAACU
rnacentral:tRNA from 8 species